rnacentral:misc_RNA from 1 species
UCUCCGUUGGUGAACCAGCGGAGGGAUCAUUACUGGAAUCGCAAGACUCCCAACCCCUGUGAACGUACCGAAACGUUGCCUCGGCGGGCCUCGCGCCCGCCGGCGGCCCACAACUCAUUGUCUGACUCUAAGCAUCUCCGAGCCAUACACAAACGAAUCAAAACUUUCAACAACGGAUCUCUUGGUUCUGGCAUCGAUGAAGAACGCAGC